GGGCCCGCACAAGCGGUGGAGCAUGUGGUUUAAUUCGAUGAUACGCGAGGAACCUUACCAGGGCUUAAAUGUAAGUUGCAUGAUUCAGAAAUGAAUCUUUCUUCGGACUACUUACAAGGUGCUGCAUGGUUGUCGUCAGCUCGUGCCGUGAGGUGUCAGGUUAAGUCCUAUAACGAGCGCAACCCCUAUCGUUAGUUGCCAUCAAGUAAAGUUGGGAACUCUAGCGAGACUGCCGGUGAUAAGCCGGAGGAAGGCGGGGAUGACGUCAAAUCAUCACGGCCCUUACGUCCUGGGCUACACACGUGCUACAAUGGUCGGUACAGAGGGAAGCUACCCCGUAAGGGGAUGCG
rnacentral:rRNA from 1 species